rnacentral:misc_RNA from 1 species
GAUGAAGAACGUAGCGAAAUGCGAUAAGUAAUGUGAAUUGCAGAAUUCAGUGAAUCAUCGAAUCUUUGAACGCACAUUGCGCCCUCUGGUAUUCCGGGGGGCAUGCCUGUUCGAGCGUCAUUAUAACCACUCAAGCUCUCGCUUGGUAUUGGGGCUCGCGGUUCCGCGGCCCCUAAAAUCAGUGGCGGUGCCUGUCGGCUCUACGCGUAGUAAUACUCCUCGCGAUUGAGUCCGGUAGGUCUACUUGCCAGCAACCCCCAAUUUUUACAGGUUGACCUCGGAUCAGCUAGGGAUACCCGCUGAACUUAAGCAUAUCAAUAGCGGAGGA